GAAUAUUGCGCAAUGGUCGAAAGACUGACGCAGCGACGCCGCGUGUGGGAGGAAGCCCUUCGGGGUGUAAACCACUGUCGGGAGGGACGAACCCCGGACGGGCAAAUAGCCCGGACGGCUGACGGUACCUCCAAAGGAAGCACCGGCUAACUCCGUCCCCGCCGCCGCGGUAAGACGGAGGGUGCAAGCGUUGUUCGGAAUUACUGGGCGUAAAGCGCGGGCAGGUGGUCUGUUAAGUCCUUUGUGAAAUCCCGGGGCUCAACUCCGGAUGUGCGUGGGAUACUGGAAGACUUGAGACUGGUAGAGGCGAGCGGAAUUCCUGGUGUAGCGGUGGAAUGCGUAGAUAUCAGGAAGAACACCGGUGGCGAAGGCGGCUCGCUGGGCCAGUUCUGACACUUAUCCGCGAAAGCGUGGGGAGCAAACAGG
rnacentral:rRNA from 1 species